AGACUUAGAACCAUUCAAAUAGGGAUG
rnacentral:piRNA from 1 species